UCGAGUUAUACACUGCUUCCCUCUCUCCGUCGGCGCCUCUCUCCCCCGCUUCCCUUCCCAUAAUUCCCAAUCGAUGCCUCUCUCCCCCACUGACGACUGCCGGCUGUCAGGAAUUAGGAUAUAAAAAGAAUGGAAUAGCUCUGACAUGGUAACUCCAGUAUAUUAUUAAUGGAGUUCUCAUUCACCGGACGGACCCAAAAUGCUUGCUGCGCCCCUCCAACACAGGAAAAAAAAAAACCUUGAUACUUCGCAGGUAGCUUUCGGUUUCUUCCUUUUUUUCGUGCGCUGACUGUUCUUCUCUUCUCUUUCCUCGCUCCUCUCGCUACUAUUCAAGGCACUGUACUAUCCCUUCCUUGCCAAUCUCCUUCUUCCAAGCUUUUAACUGUUCACAUCAGAUUUUAAAGUCCGUGUCGAAACUGCCUUUUGCACUUCCCUCUAGGUCAAGAAAGGGAAGAGGGAAGAUAAAGAAUCAGAAACGAUUAACAAUCGUCCUCAUUUUAAUUCAAGAGCUGGUAUUUGUUUUGAAUGGCCUUACAAUCAGCAAGCAACCCAACUACCCCUAGUGCCCAAGUGGUUGGAAAUGCUUUUGUUGAGCAGUAUUACCAUAUUCUUCACACCUCACCAGAAUUAGUUUAUAGAUUUUAUCAGGAUUCAAGCGUGCUCAGCCGGCCAGAUACCAAUGGUAUGAUGACAUCAGUGGCAACCAUGCAAGGUAUCGAUGAGAAGAUACUUUCUCUGAAUUUCAAGGACUAUAAGGCAGAAAUAAAAACAGCAGAUGCUCAAAAUUGGCUAAUGGGAAUGAUGUUUCUGUAGUUGUUGAAUCGACUUCUGCCACUCAAGAGGACACUCCAAAAAAAUCUUAUGCAUCAAUUGUUAAAGUGCCACGAGGGAGUUCAGGUCCAACAAAAGUUUAUGUACCUACUGUUGCUCUAAAAGUGACUUCUAAGAAGCCUGAGGACCAGUCUGUUUCAGUACCACCUGCCACAGAGCCUGAAGCAUCAGUACCAAGUAGCACUGGAACCCCUGACAGUAGCAAUGCUCAAGAGGAGAGGGAGGAUCCAUUUGUCAAGAGAAAAGAAGAGAAGAAGAAAAGAGUCGGAAAAACAAGGGAAGAAUCGGGUGCAGAACUUGAAACAAGCUGCAGAAGGUGGUGCUUUGCCAAGGUUUUUCCUCUAAUAACUUUAUUCUCUCAUAUUCUCUAUUCAUACUUGAAGUUCGAUAACAUAGAGUUUCUAAAAAUUAUAAUUGCUGUCACUCCUCUAAGCAUCUUUGAUUGGUUUGAGCUCUUUUGAAUGGGGUCUAUUCAUACUUGAAACAAGGUUUGAUGGCUGCAGACCUUGAGUUUAAUGGCAGGCGAUCUAGAUCCUCCUUGAUCGCUGAACAGGCCAGGCGGCGAGCUGAAAUAGCCAGGUACUUGUUGAAACUCUGUUCGCUGAAAUAGCCAGGGUUCUGGUUUGGUCAUUUAGAUAUUACAUCUCCUUUGACUGGAACUCUCUUCAGGUUUGCAAUCAAAUUUUUUGAUAAUCAAAAUUGGAUUGGUUAUAAUCUUCUUGGAUUGGUUCUUAAAAUUGGAUUGGUUCUUAAGUUAAUCUUCUUAAUAAGCAUGUUUAUGUUGUGCAUAUAUGAUAUUCUUUUCUUUCUUUAUUUCUUGGUUAAAUCCUGUUGAGUUUACUUUCGUGCUCCUGUGUUGUACUUUUAGGAAUUGGACCUGAUUUAAUCAAAUUGGUGAAAAUCUUUUGCUACUGUAAAUUAAUUAUGGUUAUGUAAUCCUCAUUUGUUUAAGUAAUUUUGCAAUCAUUUUCUCUCCUUUGUUUUGUGGAGUGUCUUACUGUCUAUUUUAUUCCUAAUGACUGCUUUUUAUGAGUGAUUUUGUAGAAGCUGGAACCUGUUUUUGUUUUCAUACUUGAUAUAAUUUCUUAGGCUCUUGAUAUAGAACUAGAAGUGCAAGUUUUGCCUGAUUGAACUAAUUACUAUCUGCAAUUUUGAUAGCAGAGGCUUUAAUUGUUUGAUAUUUCAUCUGACAGAUUUGUUAGAGGCCAUACCCUCUGGCUUUCUGUGUGCAAGCCUCUCUAUAGUUGCCCAUCACCAACCUGACCUUAAUGUAACCCUCAAGGCCCCAUGUAAACUAUUAAUCUGAUUAUUUGAUUAUUAAUCUGAUUAUUUGCUAUUUGGUCACUUAAAAUCAAUUUAAUGGUUGCUACUUCUGUUAGCUGUUUUUAGUCAUUAUUCCUUGAAAUUCUUACAUACUGUACUACUUGUGAUUAAAAUUCUAACCCCAUUUACCUUAUGGUAGCUAUCAUCAAAAUUGUGGACAAUGAUAUUGUGUACAGUGAUUGGGAGUGAUGCAGUGAUAUUCUGGCCGGAUGACUCUGUAUAUUAAAGUAACUUCCAGAUGGCAAAAAUUUCUGCACUUGAAAAGAUGCUUGUUCGUUGCUUGCUGGACUCGUUCUUUUACAAUAGAUGUAGUGUGCCUCAGGCACUUGGAACGCUUUGUUGUGUACCAAUUAGGAACUGGUUAGACCGCAUUAAAAAAUAUAACUCUGUAUAAUACAGAAUAAGAGAAGUAUAAAGGUAUAUUUUAUGAUAUGAAUUUGAUACUAUUUGGAUUCAUUAUGUAUUUUGAGAUAUUUUAAGUUUCUUAGUGUUGAACUAUAAUAAUGUUUUGAACUUU